CCUGGCUUCAGGCGUCGUGGCCUGGAGGGGAGGAGAACCAGUAAGUUACUAGUGAUUUCUUAAUAGUUGAUGGCUACCCUUCCUCACCCCAGCCCCCCAGCGUCUCCUCAACUCCAGGCAUUCAGAGUAAGUGCCAGAAAUAACAGCGUAAAUCAAACAGCUCUGGGACCGUCUGUGGGCCAGGAGAGGCACGCAAAACCAAGAGACGGCGGAAGAAGCACUGAAGGGGCCGUACCUCUCAGAUGCCAGGGUAGCCCCAAAGCGUGGAAGCUCCUUGCAAAGAUGGAGCCAUGGAGAAGAGGAACGGAUGCUGGAGCUAGCUGAACGGGACCACAUCUGGCUAUCUCUGAGCCCGUUUUCUCAGCUGAGGGUGACGGCAGUCCCCAUCUCAAGGAAUGGAGCCAAGGUUUAAAUGGAAUCCUGUAAGAAGAGUGUUGAGCACAACACUGGGUAUCACUGUCCCUGUGGAGAACUCUGGGGUCAGCAGCUCUGCAGGACUCAAUGAUGGAUCAGCGUUGCGGCUGGGCAGUAGCAGAGUCUAGAUGCGUUAAGGAUGGAUGACAAACCCACGCUACAAGAUCAAAACUGAACUUCAUGUUUAUCCAGCCUCGCCUUCCCGCUGGGACUUCCACUGGAUGCUUUUUGUGCGAAGGAGACACCGGUGAGUUUUCCCGGCAGGAAGUUUUGUGUGAGGACGUGUCAGGAGCCAUUUUCCCAAAGAUUAUAGCAGGGACUAUUGUCCUAAGGAUGUUUGCGGGAAGCCCCACACCCUACUAUCUUGAGAGCUAUUUGUUAGCGGAACCCACCCCACAUUCCAACUAUCUAGAGAAUUGUUUGUGGUUGGAAUCACAAAAGGAAUGAUUCCGCUUGCAUAGAGAACACUAGGUGUGUGGACUUGUGACCAUUUCUGCCCCGGCAAGGUCUCUUCUUGCCCUUGCCAUGCCCCUGCCCCCUUCCCAAGCCAAAUUCCUCAUUCAAGGGCUAUAUAAGCCACAACCAUUUCGCUAAUAAAAUGAGACCUUGACAACAGAACUUUGCUUGGUCUCCAUUUCUCCCUUCUGCCCACGUCUUUUUCAGAUAGCGCCUUUUCGGGACCUUGGAAUAACUGACCUGCUCGGCUCUAAGAUACCCAGAUCCACAGAGCCAAGCCGUCUGCACAGAAAUCCACAUCAGUGGUGCCCACUGGAGUUUAAUAAAUGGGCAUUUCCUCAAAUGACACUGAACUCUUUUCCCCACACUGAACACAAUGAACUGACGUGAGCGUGGGGCUUGCUGAGGACAGUGCCAGUGGUCCAGGGGAGCGCCAGGCAGGCUCAGCUGGGAGAGCUGCGGGGAGCUGUCCCCGAGGGAUGGCUGAAUAGCCAGGGAACAUCUCGCCUGUGCCUGUCAAGGAUACACUGCAGGGCCAGAUGAAGUGAAAAUGCCCAGCUGGAGAGAAACAAAACAGGAUUCAAGAAUUUGGCUCCUAAUCCAUUUUUCAAUAAUUGUUUGCUGAAAUACAAACGUGAGAAGAUGAGAGAGAAUAACAAAGGGAUGGCUUUGAAGAUAAGGCCACGUGUGUCGGAUGUGAAGCUCCUGGCAGCAGCAAACCCCUGUGUAGCAUUAUGUGGUCUUUAAGGACAUACAGGCCAUUGAAAAUGGAGAAAAUAAAUGUGUGUUCAAGACCGCUUUUAAAAAGAACUUUGUGUGUGUGAGAGAGAAUAAUGUUUGCAGUAAGGAUUUGAUUAAGCAAGGCUAUAGGCUCUUCUCUGAACAGGUCACCUUCUGGCCGGACAGGUUAUCCAUGGCACAAGGGGACAAGACAGUAACGCUGCAGUCGGCAUUCCCUGUUUCCCAAGCCUGGCAUGCCGGUGUGCGGCUGGACCCAUCCAGCAGGAUGUGCUCCUCUAGCUCAUGAAAACCAGCCCCUGCACAGUGAAUUUGGAAAGAAGUGGACAGUGACCUCGUCUGCAGCAGAAAUGAAAAUGGAGAAACUGCAGUCUAGAACGGUGUCUGUGAUAAAGGGCACCAGGAGCCUGGCGCUUACAUACGACUGUCACAUAACCAGGGGCGGGAAAGUGGGCGUUCACAGCAACACAGUUGUUCUUAGGCACACCGAAUAGCAGAGGAUGGACCUCUGAAUUUCUAUUCCUGACCAUCCCAGCCCUCUUGGUCCUCUGCCUGCUCCAGUGCCUCCAUGCAACAGAGGCAUGGAUUGCUUUGCAGUCCUACCCUCCGGAUGAGAGCCGCUUCCAUGUGUCUGCAUGACAGGCUCCACUCCCGCUCGCUUGUACCUUUCUGCUUCCAGAAGCAUCCUCAGAGAUAGACGUCCUCAACUCCAGCAAGCACUUAGUCCUAAAACCUAGGAAAUGGCUCAUAUCUCAGCUACCUAGAAGGCUGAAGCAGAGGAUUGCUGCUUUGAGUUUGAGGCCAGCCUGGACUGUGGGGUGGCUAAGCCUUAACAGGCCUGAGAGCCAGCGAUACUAAGAGCCGAUACUAAGAGCAUGCGCAGUAGAGCAAGCCUGGGUCUGCCAGAGGCCUUGAUAAUUGUAGCCAAGUCUGACAUAUGUCAUGAACCUAUGAACAGCAACCACAUCACCUCAGUAGAUGCCAGCUCAGUGGACCCCACCCCCAGCAGGGUGGGGGAUAUAUAAGGCUUACCCUUUCCUAAAAUAA